rnacentral:rRNA from 1 species
CCUACGGGUGGCUGCAGUGGGGAAUAUUGGACAAUGGGGGGAACCCUGAUCCAGCCAUGCCGCGUGUGUGAAGAAGGCCCUCGGGUUGUAAAGCACUUUCAGUGAGGAAGAACGCCUGGUGGUUAAUACCCAUCAGGAAAGACAUCACUCACAGAAGAAGCACCGGCUAACUCCGUGCCAGCAGCCGCGGUAAUACGGAGGGUGCGAGCGUUAAUCGGAAUUACUGGGCGUAAAGCGCGCGUAGGUGGCUUGAUAAGCCGGUUGUGAAAGCCCCGGGCUCGACCUGGGAACGGCAUCCGGAACUGUCAAGCUAGAGUGCAGGAGAGGAAGGUAGAAUUCCCGGUGUAGCGGUGAAAUGCGUAGAGAUCGGGAGGAAUACCAGUGGCGAAGGCGGCCUUCUGGACUGACACUGACACUGAGGUGCGAAAGCGUGGGUAGCAAACAGGAUUAGAUACCCCAGUAGUC